CAGAUAUAAUGCAGUCGAACGCUUCUUUUCCCACCGGAGCUUGCUCCACCGGGAAAAGAGGAGUGGCGAACGGGUGAGUAACACGUGGGUAACCUGCCCAUCAGAAGGGGAUAACACUUGGAAACAGGUGCUAAUACCGUAUAACAAUCGAAACCGCAUGGUUUCGUUUUGAAAGGCGCUUUACGGUGCCGCUGAUGGAUGGACCCGCGGUGCAUUAGCUAGUUGGUGAGGUAACGGCUCACCAAGGCCACGAUGCAUAGCCGACCUGAGAGGGUGAUCGGCCACAUUGGGACUGAGACACGGCCCAAACUCCUACGGGAGGCAGCAGUAGGGAAUCUUCGGCAAUGGACGAAAGUCUGACCGAGCAACGCCGCGUGAGUGAAGAAGGUUUUCGGAUCGUAAAACUCUGUUGUUAGAGAAGAACAAGGGUGAGAGUAACUGUUCACCCCUUGACGGUAUCUAACCAGAAAGCCACGGCUAACUACGUGCCAGCAGCCGCGGUAAUACGUAGGUGGCAAGCGUUGUCCGGAUUUAUUGGGCGUAAAGCGAGCGCAGGCGGUUUCUUAAGUCUGAUGUGAAAGCCCCCGGCUCAACCGGGGAGGGUCAUUGGAAACUGGGAGACUUGAGUGCAGAAGAGGAGAGUGGAAUUCCAUGUGUAGCGGUGAAAUGCGUAGAUAUAUGGAGGAACACCAGUGGCGAAGGCGGCUCUCUGGUCUGUAACU
rnacentral:rRNA from 1 species